UUAAGUUCAGCGGGUAUUCCUACCUGAUCCGAGGUCAACCUUGUAAAAUUACAGUGGUGUUUUUUGACGGCUGGGCACCGCCGAGCCUCCCAAGCGAGAAAGUAAACUACUACGCUCGGAGCCGCGGCGGGCCCGCCACUGAUCUUGGGGGCCUGCGAGAGUUCUUGGAGGAGAAUGCUCGCAGAAGCCCCAACGCCAGG
rnacentral:misc_RNA from 1 species